GUGCCAGCAGCCGCGGUAAUACGUAGGGGGCGAGCGUUGUCCGGAAUUAUUGGGCGUAAAGCGCGCGCAGGCGGUCUCUUAAGUCUGAUGUGAAAGCCCACGGCUCAACCGUGGAGGGUCAUUGGAAACUGGGGGACUUGAGUGCAGGAGAGGAGAGCGGAAUUCCACGUGUAGCGGUGAAAUGCGUAGAGAUGUGGAGGAACACCAGUGGCGAAGGCGGCUCUCUGGCCUGCAACUGACGCUGAGGCGCGAAAGCGUGGGGAGCAAACAGGAUUAGAUACCCUGGUAGUCCACGCCGUAAACGAUGAGUGCUAAGUGUUAGAGGGGUCACACCCUUUAGUGCUGCAGCUAACGCGAUAAGCACUCCGCCUGGGGAGUACGGCCGCAAGGCUGAAACUUAAAUGAAUUGGCGGGG
rnacentral:rRNA from 1 species